rnacentral:misc_RNA from 1 species
GAUGAAGAACGUAGUGAAAUGCGAUAAGUAGUGUGAAUUGCAGAAUUCCGUGAAUCAUCGAAUCUUUGAACGCACAUUGCGCCUUCUGGUAUUCCGGAAGGCAUGCCUGUUCGAGAGUCAUUAACAACCGUUUCGAUCCCUUUCUUUCAGAAAUUACAAAGAGGAAAAGGGUUUGGUUAUGGUGGAGGAGGGAAAGGGAGCGUUUAGCCUGUAAAAAAAGAGGCUGUGUUCCGCCUCCCCCCCAAAAUUGUACAGGCGGUCGUGUGCGCCCACGCAUCGAGGUGGUGUAAAAGCUGCCACGGCACUUUUCACCUGUGCAGUGCGAGAUUGGCCAGCCGGUUUAAAAACCCCUCCAAACAAUCAAAGGUUGACCUCGGAUCAGGUAGGGAUACCCGCUGAACUUAAGCAUAUCAAUAAGCGGAGGA